rnacentral:rRNA from 1 species
AGUGAACGCUGGCGGUAGGCCUAACACAUGCAAGUCGAACGGCAGCACAGUAAGAGCUUGCUCUUACGGGUGGCGAGUGGCGGACGGGUGAGGAAUACAUCGUAAUCUACUUUUUCGUGGGGGAUAACGUAGGGAAACUUACGCUAAUACCGCAUACGACCUACGGGUGAAAGCAGGGGAUCUUCGGACCUUUCGCGAUUGAAUGAGCCGAUGUCGGAUUAGCUAGUUGGCGGGGUAAAGGCCCACCAAGGCGACGAUCCGUAGCUGGUGUGAGAGGAUGAUCGGCCACACUGGAACUGAGACACGGUCCAGACUCCUACGGGAGGCAGCAGUGGGGAAUAUUAGACAAUGGGCGGAAGCCUGAUCCAGCCAUACCGCGUGGGUGAAGAAGGCCUUCGGGUUGUAAAGCCCUUUUGUUGGGAAAGAAAAGCAGCAGGUUGAUACCCCGCUGUUCUGACGGUACCCAAAGAAUAAGCACCGGCUAACUUCGUG